rnacentral:rRNA from 1 species
AUUGAACGCUGGCGGAAUGCUUUACACAUGCAAGUCGAACGGCAGCACGGACUUCGGUCCGGUGGCGAGUGGCGAACGGGUGAGUAAUGUAUCGGAACGUGCCCAGUCGCGGGGGAUAACGUAGUGAAAAUUACGCUAAUACCGCAUACGAUCUAUGGAUGAAAGCGGGGGAUCGCAAGACCUCGCGCGAUUGGAGCGGCCGAUAUCAGAUUAGGUAGUUGGUGGGGUAAAGGCCCACCAAACCAACGAUCUGUAGCUGGUCUGAGAGGACGACCAGCCACACUGGAACUGAGACACGGGCCAGACGCCUACGGGAGGCAGCAGUGGGGAAUGUUGGACAAUGGGCGAAAGCCGGAUCCAGCCAUUCCGCGUGCAGGAUGAAGGCCCUCGGGUUGUAAACUGCUUUUGUACAGAACGAAAAGGUUUCUACUAAUACUAGGAGCUCAUGACGGUACUGUAAGAAUAAGCACCGGCUAACUACGUGCCAGCCGCCGCCGUAA